rnacentral:rRNA from 1 species
AUACGGAGGGUGCAAGCGUUAAUCGGAAUUACUGGGCGUAAAGCGCUCGUAGGCGGCUUGUUAAGUCGGAUGUGAAAGCCCCGGGCUCAACCUGGGAACUGCAUUCGAUACUGGCAGGCUAGAGGUGACUGGAACGACUGGUGGAGCGGUGAAAUGCGUAGAUAUCAGUUGGAACGCCUGAGGCGAAAGCGGGUCACUGGACCUGUCCUGACGCUGAGACGCGAAAGCGUGGGUAGCGAACAGAAUUAGAAACCCCGGUAGUCC